AGCGAACGCUGGCGGCAGGCCUAACACAUGCAAGUCGAACGAUCCUUCGGGAUAGUGGCGGACGGGUGAGUAACACGUGGGAACGUACCUUUAGGUUCGGGAUAACUCAGGGAAACUUGAGCUAAUACCGGAUAAGCCCUUUUGGGGAAAGAUUUAUCGCCUUUAGAGCGGCCCGCGUUAGAUUAGCUAGUUGGUGAGGUAAAGGCUCACCAAGGCUCCGAUCUAUAGCUGGUCUGAGAGGAUGAUCAGCCACACUGGGACUGAGACACGGCCCAGACUCAAACGGGGGGCAGCAGUGGGGAAUUUGGCGAAAUGGGCGAAAGCGUGACGCAGCCAUGCCGGGUGAAUGAGGAGGGUCUUAGGAUUAUAAAAUUUUUUUAGCAGGGACGAUAAUGGCGGUACCUGCAGAAAAAGCCCCGGCUAACUUCGUGCCAGCAGCCGCCGUAACAC
rnacentral:rRNA from 1 species